UAUAUCCGGAUGCAUAUAUACUUGGACAUGCAUUAGAGACUCCUUAUUGUUGAAACAUAGUGAAUCUUCUGCAUUUCUUGAAUUUCUUAAUUUCCUUUUGGGCAUUAAUUAAGACUAAGCUUGUCUUCCUUAGCAACUAGAGAAUCCCCCUUCGUGAAGCACAUGUUUAUGAGGAUCUUGAGUUUGUUCUUAUAGAGGUUCUUAACUUACUAGAGGUUUUGAACUUUAUGAAUCAGAUAACUUUUAACGAUUCUUCCUCUAAACUUUAAUCUUCCCCCCA
rnacentral:lncRNA from 1 species